AUUGAACGCUGGCGGCAGGCCUAACACAUGCAAGUCGAACGGUAACAGGAAACAGCUUGCUGUUUCGCUGACGAGUGGCGGACGGGUGAGUAAUGUCUGGGAAACUGCCUGAUGGAGGGGGAUAACUACUGGAAACGGUAGCUAAUACCGCAUAACGUCGCAAGACCAAGGAGGGGGACCUUCGGGCCUCUUGCCAUCGGAUGUGCCCAGAUGGGAUUAGCUAGUAGGUGGGGUAACGGCUCACCUAGGCGACGAUCCCUAGCUGGUCUGAGAGGAUGACCAGCCACACUGGAACUGAGACACGGUCCAGACUCCUACGGGAGGCAGCAGUGGGGAAUAUUGCACAAUGGGCGCAAGCCUGAUGCAGCCAUGCCGCGUGUAUGAAGAAGGCCUUCGGGUUGUAAAGUACUUUCAGCGGGGAUGAAGGGAGUAAAGUUAAUACCUUUGCUCAUUGACGUUACCCGCAGAAGAAGCACCGGCUAACUCCGUG
rnacentral:rRNA from 1 species